GCCAGGUGUGGUGGCUCACACCUGUAAUCCCAGCACUUUGGGAGGCUGAGGUGGGUGGAUCACCUGAGGUCAGGAGUUUGAGACCAACCUGGCCAACAUGGCGAAACCCCAUCUCUA
rnacentral:SRP_RNA from 1 species